rnacentral:rRNA from 1 species
AGAGUUUGAUCAUGGCUCAGAGCGAACGCUGGCGGCAGGCCUAACACAUGCAAGUCGAACGAACUCUUCGGAGUUAGUGGCGGACGGGUGAGUAACACGUGGGAACGUGCCUUUAGGUUCGGAAUAACUCAGGGAAACUUGUGCUAAUACCGAAUGUGCCCUUCGGGGGAAAGAUUUAUCGCCUUUAGAGCGGCCCGCGUCUGAUUAGCUAGUUGGUGAGGUAAAGGCUCACCAAGGCGACGAUCAGUAGCUGGUCUGAGAGGAUGAUCAGCCACAUUGGGACUGAGACACGGCCCAAACUCCUACGGGAGGCAGCAGUGGGGAAUCUUGCGCAAUGGGCGAAAGCCUGACGCAGCCAUGCCGCGUGAAUGAUGAAGGUCUUAGGAUUGUAAAAUUCUUUCACCGGGGACGAUAAUGACGGUACCCGGAGAAGAAGCCCCGGCUAACUUCGUGCCAGCAGCCGCGGUAAUACGAAGGGGGCUAGCGUUGCUCGGAAUUACUGGGCGUAAAGGGAGCGUAGGCGGACAUUUAAGUCAGGGGUGAAAUCCCGGGGCUCAACCUCGGAAUUGCCUUUGAUACUGGGUGUCUUGAGUAUGAGAGAGGUGUGUGGAACUCCGAGUGUAGAGGUGAAAUUCGUAGAUAUUCGGAAGAACACCAGUGGCGAAGGCGACGCACUGGCUCAUUACUGACGCUGAGGCUCGAAAGCGUGGGGAGCAAACAGGAUUAGAUACCCUGGUAGUCCACGCCGUAAACGAUGAUUGCUAGUUGUCGGGAUGCAUGCAUUUCGGUGACGCAGCUAACGCAUUAAGCAAUCCGCCUGGGGAGUACGGUCGCAAGAUUAAAACUCAAAUGAAUUGACGG